CCUAAGGUAAAGACAUCUUGUGAUCAGCUUUCCUCAGCACCCCAGAGGGAGAAUUUCCUGCAAGUUCUGCCGGCAUGGCACCGCAAGACUUCUCUGUCACCCAGUGAGCAUGGCUGUGCUCACAGGUCUGAACUGCAGCUCUGAGAGGCAAACCAGGAGGACCUUUCUUGGAUGUUCCAUCUCAGCUAGAGGAAAAGCCCUAAGAGAUCCUAGCCUGGAGAAUCAUGGAGCCAUGUUGUUAGCAGUUUGAGAUCAUUACCACAGGAAAAAGAGAACAGCGAGGAGAAAAGGAU